AGAUGCUGUUUGUGCAAGGCAAAGAAAGGGAUGCUGACUCCCCCCUGCUUAGAGAAGUCUGCCUACCCAGAGAUCCCUCCCUUAUCUAUCACCUCGGACAGUGACUAACUUCCUUCAGCUGUAUUUUAACUAAGAGUUCCCUUCAAAGAAUUCCCUUCAACCUGGCUUCGUCUUGAUGGACCACACCUCUUCUGGAUCUCCUUUGUCUGACACUGGUCCGAAUGGAUGCAGGGAUCAAAUCAAAAUGUCAGCCAAAGAUCAGCCAGGCAGAACCAUGCUGCGGAGUCCCAACAACAGAAGCAGGUGCAAAAAUGCACAGCGUGCCUCUCGAGACCACUUGUAAAUGAUUUUGGGUUAUCGCCUCCCCUAAGGAUAGGAAGAAUUGAGUGGGAACAGCUGCACCUUUCUGUCGAGUGUUUAAAAGUUGCAGUCUGGCUCAACCACCGCGGGAGAGAGACUGGCACAACAGAGCAUGUGUGGAUAGUGGCUCAGAACACAGGCUGAUGGGACAGGCUCAAAUCCUGUCACUGCCACCUCAGAUAAGCUACUAUCUCUUCCCCGAGCCACAGUUUGUAAUCUCUAAAAUGGGAAGGGGACUGAUGGCACCCAUUUAUGGCUUCCGAAUUAAGUAGGGGUAUGGCGUGUGGGCUUGGCGCACACAGCACUUGACUCACAUAAUGUGAGCAACUACUGAUGAAUUGUUAUUAUUGUAUUAAUAAAGUAGGGGAAUGUUUCUAAUACUCUCCUGUUACUCUUUAAGGAAACUUCCAGCAGAUGUAUAUUUUGAGACGUUCCGGUCACUAGGUGUGGCUGUCUUUCUACUAGUCCGAGCCAGACAAGGGCAAUGAGAGAUGGACCAGCAGAAAGGACGAGGGCAGAGGCUGCCGUGAGGGCAACGGAGUGAGAACUGACAUCCUGAGGGUGGGAGUGGAUGAUAACUUAUCACUGAAGGUAAAAUGGAGACUUGUGUCUGCUCUGGGGCCCUGCCCAGGUCAUCUCUCUUAGGUGGCUCUGUCUUUCUCAGUUUACUGCUAUGAAGAAUUUGAACCAGUCCCCAGCCCCACAAUAUACAUAGUGACCCUGGCUGGCUUCUAGGUAGCCCAGUCUCUUUAAGUCUAUAUUGCACUCCCUAGUAGCCAGUCUUCUGUUCCCAAUCUCUGAAGGCAGGGGCAGGUCUCUCCUCACGUACUGAGCUUGGCUGCCGAGCUCUCCGUCACCUACAGCCUGAUCGGAAACUUGACUGUGUGACUGAGUCUCCACAGAAUCCUUCCGUACCCUAGCCCAGCCUCCGUCGCCAUGGUUGAGGAGAGUAUGAGACCUCUUAUGUAGGUAUUUACUGAUGUGCACUCAGAGGCCACAAUGUCUAAGAAUUACCAGCUCCUUCAUGCUACCCUGAAUAAUGCUGCCAAGGGACCUGUGUCUCUGCAGGGCUCAAGGAGAAGCUGGGCUCAGAGGAGCCUGGCUGAUGGCCUUCAAAACAAGAAAAGAUCUGUUGCUUUGGUCAAGAACAGUGUGGGGAAGAGAAGAACUCGGAAGAACAGGGUGGUUCCUUCCAACUCUGGCUCCCCUUGCUUUCACUAUGGUGAACACGGAUCUCAUUGGGCAGGCUAGAGCUGAGGGUGGUGACCCAGUGGAGAGCGUGAGGAGAGGUGGUGGUGGCUGAUGGCGAGAACAUGGAUCCAAGCCCUUGGCGACAUUGAAAACAUGGAACCCCCCCUCUCUUCCUGGUCCCCGUACUCCCCUUCGGACAGCGGUGUUGGGCCGCGCCUUCGGAGGCCCUGUAAUAUCAACUCAACAAUGCAUGUUCUACAACUACAGCUACAGCUACCAGGACAUCUACUACAAUGCAUGCAUUUAGUUCAGUCCCACAGAUACAUACAAUCUAAGAACAGGCAAGGGAGGUGUGAAAUGUUUUACUAGACAACAGGUGUUUUGGAGUUGUAACUGAUAAAAAAAAAGAGAGAGAGAGAAACGUAAAGUGUACAAAAAAAAGAGAGAGAGAGAGACAUUUCUCGAGAGUUGGAUAUGAGUUUGUUUCUUGAACUGUUUCAUCUGAACAAGCAAAACAUGCAAACCAGCUGAUACUAACAGGAAGCUGGACACUGAGAGAGGUUAACAGGUGUGGACAAACCUUCCUGCUGAGCGUGCUCAGAAGAGUGUCUGAGAGGACGUGUGCAGGUCCUAGUGUAAGAGAGGCGGGAAAGUUUGCCUCAGACACUCUCUCUCACCGCAGCCCCAACCAAGCAAGAGAAAAGACAACAGAAACAUGACUGCUCACACUCACCACCACCGUCAGGAGCUUAUGUCACUAGACUGGAAUAAAGCCGGCAAGUAUAAAGUACAGUACGGGGUCCUGGCUGGGGCCGGGGCAGGGGCCGGGGGAGGGAGUGGACACCGGGGGAGGGGUGCUCUGCAAGCUCGAAGAGUAAUACACGGACCCACCAAUGAGGUCACCCCCAAAUAAAA
rnacentral:lncRNA from 1 species